GACUACGAGUACAAGUCCCCACCUCCUCCUAAGAAGGACUAUGAAUACAAAUCUCCUCCACCACCUAAGAAGGAUUACGAGUAUAAAUCACCACCGCCACCCAAGAAAGACUACGAGUACAAAUCUCCUCCACCUCCCGUCGUGAAGCCAUCACCACCGCAUUACAUCUAUGCCUCACCCCCACCACCUCCUUACCACUAUUAGAUCGAUCAGCUGCCUUAUAUUAUUGCAUGAAGUUCUGCAGGUAAAAGAAGAAAAUUUAAUAUCCAUAUCAAUAAAGAGAUGGCCUAAUGAAGAUCCUCAUUGCACUCAGAUGAAUGGCCUUCGAUUAUUUACGUCUUGUGGUCUAUGUUUGUUUCUAGAUUUGGUAUUUCAUAUUAUGUAUUCAUAUACAUACAAAGAUUAGCAUUGGGAAAUGAGAAAGUUAAUUUUUUUUUUCCAAAA